rnacentral:misc_RNA from 1 species
GUGAAUCAUCGAAUUUUUGAACGCAAAUUGCACUCUCCUCGGAGAGUAUGCCUGUUUGAGGGUCAGCCUAUAAAAAAUCGACAUCGUUGCUGUUUCGCGGUGGCGUUCGUCGGAAAUUGGGUCAUCUUAAACCUUUUUGUUUUAGGCAACUUAAAAUUUUCUUUUGGUUCAUUGACCGUUUCUAGGACUUUUUCUUUUAAACGUUAAGGGAU